GCUGUAGCUCAGUGGUAGAGUGCUUGCCUAGCAUGGGUAAGUCACUGGGUUCGAUCAUCAGCACUGCA
rnacentral:tRNA from 1 species